rnacentral:rRNA from 1 species
UAUUGGACAAUGGGCGCAAGCCUGAUCCAGCCAUGCCGCGUGUGUGAAGAAGGCCUUCGGGUUGUAAAGCACUUUUGUUGGGGAAGAAAAGCGAUCGGUUAAUACCCGGUUGUUCUGACGGUACCUAAAGAAUAAGCACCGGCUAACUUCGUGCCAGCAGCCGCGGUAAUACGAAGGGUGCAAGCAUUAUCCGGAGUGACUGGGCGUAAAGAGUUGCGUAGGUGGUUUGUUAAGUGAAUAGCGAAAUCUGGGGGCUCAACCUCACAGACUGUUAUUCAAACUGGCAAACUCGAGAAUGGUAGAGGUAACUGGAAUUUCUAGUGUAGGAGUGAAAUCCGUAGAUAUUAGAAGGAACACCAAUGGCGUAGGCAGAUUACUGGACCAUUUCUGACACUGAGGCACGAAAGCGUGGGGAGCGAAC